GACGAACGCUGGCGGCGUGCCUAAUACAUGCAAGUAGAACGCUGAAGGAGGAGCUUGCUCUUCUGGAUGAGUUGCGAACGGGUGAGUAACGCGUAGGUAACCUGCCUGGUAGCGGGGGAUAACUAUUGGAAACGAUAGAUAAUACCGCAUAAGAGAAGAUGUUGCAUGACAUUUACUAAAAAGGUGCAAUUGCAUCACUACCAGAUGGUCCUGCGUUGUAUUAGCUAGUUGGUGGGGUAACGGCUUACCAAGGCGACGAUACAUAGCCGACCCGAGAGGGUGGUCGGCCACCCUUGGACUGGGACACGGCCCAGACUCCUUCGGGAGGCAGCCGUAGGGAAUCUUCGGCCAUGGACGGAAGUCUGACCGGGCAACGCCGCGUUAGUGAAGAAGGUUUUCGGAUCGUAAAGCUCUGUUGUAAGGGAAGAACGAGUGUGGGAGGUGAAAGUUCACACUGUGACGGUAUCUUACCAGAAAGGGACGGCUAACUACGUG
rnacentral:rRNA from 1 species